GGAGAGAUGGCCGAGCGGUCUAAGGCGCACGCCUGGAGAGCGUGUAAGCGCGAAUAGUGCUUCGUGGGUUCGAAUCCCACUCUCUCCGCCA
rnacentral:tRNA from 1 species